AAGUCGUAACAAGGUUUCCGUAGGUGAACCUGCGGAAGGAUCAUUGCAAAUCGUUUGGUGUGUGGUUGGGUUUGUUUGGUCGGGGUUUGUGCUCUUUGGGUGUGGGCUCUUUCAGGGUCUGUGCUCCUUGGGUGUAAGCUCUGUCCCUCACACUAAACCAUAUCACAUAUGCACAGCGGAGGCUCCUGGUGCAAACCAGGACCACUGCUGAUGUUUACGCUUGAAUGUUUGACAAAUCAAAUAGGAUCAAAUUAUAUACAACUUUUAACAACGGAUCUCUUGGCUCUU
rnacentral:misc_RNA from 1 species